rnacentral:tRNA from 4 species
GGGGUGUUAGCUCAGCGGUAGAGCAGUCGCCUCUUAAGCGAUUGGUCGAAGGUUCGAAUCCUUCACACCUCA